rnacentral:rRNA from 1 species
UACGUAGGGUGCAAGCGUUGUCCGGAAUUAUGGCGUAAGGAGCUCGUAGGCGGUCUGUCGCGUCGGCUGUGAAAACCCGGAGCUCAACUCCGGGCCUGCAGUCGAUACGGGCAAACUGGAGUACUGCAGGGGAGACUGGAAUUCCUGGUGUAGCGGUGAAAUGCGCAGAUAUCAGGAGGAACACCAAUUGCGAAGGCAGCUCGCUGGGACGUUACUGACGCUGGAGAACGCGAAAGCCGUGGGGAGCAAACAGG